AUUGAACGCUGGCGGCAGGCCUAACACAUGCAAGUCGAACGAGUGGCGGAGGGGCGAGUAAUGGCUGGGAAACUGCCUAAUCUAGGGGGAUAACUACUGGAAAACGUAGCUACUACCGCAUACCAUCCGAUGGGCCGAGGGGGGAUUAGCUGGUUGGUGGGGUAACGGUUCACCAAGGCGACGAUCCCUAGCUGGUCUGCGAGGAUGACCAGCCACACUGGAACUGAGACACGGUCCAGACUCCUACGGGAGGCAGCAGUGGGGAAUAUUGCACAAUGGGCGAAAGCCUGAUGCAGCCAUGCCGCGUGUAUGAAGAAGGCCUUCGGGUUGUAAAGUACUUUCAGCGGGGAGGCGUUACCCGCAGAAGAAGCACCGGCUAACUCCGUGCCAGCCGCCGCGGUAAUAC
rnacentral:rRNA from 1 species